GAAAUUGAGAAGUGGUACAAAGCAGAAGGAGAAGAGUUGAGCAGCAGCUGAUGUGCUUGGGAAUUAGGUGCCCUCUGAGCCUGUGCCUGUCCACUGCUGCCUUGAACCCAGCCGUGCACAUAUAAGAAGUGGAAAAACAUCCAAGCAACAUUUCUGCAAUCCUUGGUAGUAAUCUAACUCCAGUCCUCUCUGGAAGUCACCCUGACCAUAGAGAAUGGGUUUGAAAGGAAUCCUGAGGGCACUUCUAUGAUGCUAAAUCAGAGGGCCAGAGAAAUCAGCUGAAGCACUGGAACAGGCUGGUCCAUCCUGCAUCAGGCGCCGUCAUCGUGGAGUUCUUCUGGCAGCAGAGACUGCAGAGAGCUGAGAAAGGAUGAUCACACGUGUGACACAGCAUGGGAUGGAGCACAUUUAGCUGCUGGAUUCCCAAAUGGGGAGUGUGAGUUCCAUUAAUGCCUGAAGCAUCCCAGCAGUGCCUGCAUGCCCUUCACCUCCAGGUCAGCAGUAAUUGCUUUGCUGGGCUUGGCUGCACAGCAAAGCACACUGUGACAGUGAGCAGCACUUUUCUGGUGAGGAAAGCUCAGGCAUUUAACCAGCUGAGCACAAAUCUCCACUGGCAACUUGUGAAAUUUGCAUUUUCCCUCCCAUUCCGUGUCCAGGGAUACAGCACUGGGAUGCUGCAGAAGCCUCUUGUGGGUCACUGGGCACUCUGCAGUUAUAAAGCACUUUCUUCAGUCUGUCCAUUUAUUGUGCCAUCUUCAUCUUGAUGAAGCUUCAGCUUUCCAUAGUGAGCAUAAAAUAUUAAACUCAA